CCGACGGUGAGAGAUGAAAGCUGGGGAGCAAACCGGAUUAGAUACCCGGGUAGUCCCAGCCGUAAACGAUGUGCGUUAGGUGUAUCGGUGACCACGAGUCACCGAGGUGCCGAAGAGAAAUCGUGAAACGUACCGCCUGGGAAGUACGGUCGCAAGGCUGAAACUUAAAGGAAUUGGCGGGGAGCACCACAACAGGUGGAGCCUGCGGUUUAAUCGGACUCAACGCCGGGAAACUCACCAGAUAAGACAGCUGAAUGAUAGUCGGGCUGAAGACUCUACUUGACUAGCUGAGAGGAGGUGCAUGGCCGUCGUCAGUUCGUACUGUGAAGCAUCCUGUUAAGUCAG
rnacentral:rRNA from 1 species